rnacentral:rRNA from 1 species
CACUGUGGCACCAUGGCACCAAGGCACCAAGGCACUAAGGCACUGUGGCACCGUGGUACCAUGGCUCCAUGGCACUCGGAUAACCGUAGUAAUUCUAGAGCUAAUACGUGCAAUAAAACCCGACUUUUGGAAGGGAUGCAUUUAUUAGAUAAAAGGUCAACGCGGGCUCUGGCCGUUGCUGCGAUGAUUCAUAAUAACUCAACGGAUCGCAUGGCCAUCGUGCCUGCGAUGCAUCAGUCAAAUUUCUAUCCUAUCAAGUUUUGAUGGUAGGAUAGUGGCCUAAAAUGGUGGUGACGGGUGACGGAGAAUUAGGGUUCUAUUUUGGAGAAGGAGCCUGAGAAACGGCUUCCACAUCCAAGGAAGGCAGCAGGCGUGCAAAUUAUCCAAUCCUGACAUGGGGAGAUAGUGACAAUAAAUAAUAAUACCGGGCUCAGUGAGUCUGGUAAUUGGAAUGAGUAAAAUCUAAAUCCCUUAAGGUCGAUCCAUUGGAGUGAGAGUCUAGUGCCAGCAGCCGCAGUAAUUCUAGCACCAAUAGCGUAUAUUUAAGUUGUUGCAGUUAAAAAGAUUGAAGUUGGACUUUAGGAUUGGCCAGCCGAUCCACUAUGAUGUGCAUUGGUCGUCUAAUCCCUUCUAUCGGCGAUGCGCUCCUGGCCUUCACUGGCCGGGUCGUGCCUCCGGCGCUGUUAAUUUGAUGAAAUUAGAGUGCUUAAGGCCAGCCUACGCUCUGUAUACAUUAGCAUGGGAUAACAUUAUAUGAUUUCAGUCUUAUUACGUUGUCCUUCAGGAUCGAAGUAAUGAUUGNAUCGAAGUAAUGAUUAAUAGGGACAGUCAGGGGCAUUUGUAUUUUAUAAAUAGAGGUGAAAUUAUUGGAUUUAUGAAAUACGAACAAGUACGAAAGCAUUUUCCAAGGAUGUUUUCAUUAAUCAAGAACAAAAGUUGGGGGCUCGAAGGCGAUCAGAUACCGUCCUAGUCUCAAUUAUAAAUGAUGUCGAACAGGGAUUGGUGGAUGUUGCUUUUAGGACUUCGCCGGUACCUUAUGAGAAAUCAAAGUUUUUGGGUUCCGGGGGGAGUAUGGUGGCAAGGCUGAAACUUAAAGAAAUUGAUAAAAGGGCACUAUCAGGAGUGGAGCCUUCGGCUUAAUUUGACUCAACCCGAGGAAACUUACCAGGUCUAGACAUAGUAAGGAUUGAAACACUAAGAGCUCUUUCUUGAUUCUAUGGGUGGUGGUGCUUGGCCGUUCUUAGUUGGUGGAGCAAUUUCUCUUGUUAAUUCCAUUAACCAACGAAACCUCAGCCUUCUAUCUAUCUAUGCGGAGGUAUCCCUUCGCGUCCAUCAUCUUAGAGGGACUACGGCCUUUUAGGCUACAGAAGUUUGACGCAAUAACAGGUCUGUGAUGCCCUUAGAUGUUCAACGAGUUUAUAGCCUUGGUCGAACGGCUCGGGUAAUCUUUGACCUUUAUUGUAAUGGGGAUAGAUCAUUGCAAUUGUUGGUUUUCUACGAUGAAUUCCUAGUAAGCGCGAGUCAGCAGCUCGUGUUGACUACGUUCCUGCCCUUUGUACACACCACCCGUUCCUCCUACCGAUUGAAUGAUCUGAUGAAAUGUACGAAUUGCAGUGAAGUGGGUGGUUCGAUGCCCGUGACGUCGUGAAAUUUCCAUUGAACCUUAGCGCCAAUGA